UAAACUAGGAUUAGAUACCCUAUUAUACUGUAUGUAGAAGUUGUUAUGCUGGAGUAGUAAUCAGUUAUGGUCUUUAAACUUAAAGGAUUUGGCGGUACUCAAGUCUAGUCAGAGGAACCUGUGCUGUAAACGAUAGUCCACGAAUUAUCUUACUUUAUCUUGUUUUCAGUUUAUAUACCGCCAUUAUAAAAUAAUGUUAAGAAUUAUUUAUUAUAAUAAAUGAGUUUUACUAUAUUAGGUCAAGGUGUAGCCAAUGGUAGAGUAGUUAUGGGUUACAGUGUAUUAUAUAUGGGCGGAUUAAGUUUUGAAUAGAUCUUUUCAAGUUGGAUUUGAUUGUAAGUUUAUUUUAAUAAGAUAGGCUGAUAUAAGCUCUAGGGUAUGUACACAUCGCCCGCUCUUAAAGA
rnacentral:rRNA from 1 species